rnacentral:rRNA from 1 species
UUGGAGGGCAAGUCUGGUGCCAGCAGCCGCGGUAAUUCCAGCUCCAAUAGCGUAUAUUAAAGUUGUUGCAGUUAAAAAAGCUCGUAGUUGAACCUUGGGUCUGGCUGGCCGGUCCGCCUCACCGCGAGCACUGGUCCGGCUGGACCUUUCCUUCUGGGGAAUCCUAUGGCCUUCACUGGCUAUAGGGGGAACCAGGACUUUUACUGUGAAAAAAUUAGAGUGUUCAAAGCAGGCCUUUGCUCGGAUACAUUAGCAUGGAAUAAUAGAAUAGGACG